rnacentral:rRNA from 1 species
CCUACGGGAGGCAGCAGUCGAGAAUCAUUCACAAUGGGGGAAACCCUGAUGGCGCGACGCCGCGUGGGGGAAUGAAGGUCUUCGGAUUGUAAACCCCUGUCAUGUGGGAGCAAAUUAAAAAGAUAGUACCACAAGAGGAAGAGACGGCUAACUCUGUGCCAGCAGCCGCGGUAAUACAGAGGUCUCAAGCGUUGUUCGGAAUCACUGGGCGUAAAGCGUGCGUAGGCUGUUUCGUAAGUCGUGUGUGAAAGGCGCGGGCUCAACCCGCGGACGGCACAUGAUACUGCGAGACUAGAGUAAGGGAGGGGGAACCGGAAUGCUCGGUGUAGCAGUGAAAUGCGUAGAUAUCAAGAGGAACACUCGUGGCGAAGGCGGGUUCCUGGACAUUAACUGACGCUGAGGCACGAAGGCCAGGGGAGCGAAAGGGAUUAGAUACCCGUGUAGUC